rnacentral:lncRNA from 1 species
AUAGUAAGAGUUUGGUGGAGAGUGGGAAAUCCUUACCGAAGAUCCAUCUUGAGAAGUUGGACAAAGUAGGAAGGAUGUAGCUUCAGUGGUUGUAUUUAUAUUUGAAGAUCCAGUUUGGGGGACAGAGUAGGAUAAGAUAAUUGAGCUAGCAAGUAGGUGCAUCCAUAUCCGAAGAUCCACUUUGGGGGACAGAGUAGGAUAUGAUGUAUCUGAGUAAAGUACCACUACAAGCGUAGAACCUGUUUAGAGUUCGAUAUUCAUAUGAUUAUUUGAAUGGGUUGAGUUUAUGAUGAUCAUGGUGUGUUUAUUGUAUUAUUAAGAAAUUUGACUUAUAAGUUAGAAAUUAUGUUAUUAAUUUUAAAUAUAUCAUGUUAUUUUGUUGCAAUAGCUCACCCUUGCUUUAUCUGUUAUUUGGUGGUUACUGUUGUAUUGUGUGUUUUCUCUCGGUGAUGAUCAUCUGGUGGGUGUGAGCAGAAAGUGGUGAGACGCCGGUGGAACAGGCGUUAGAUGGAGGAUCGACUAGUGUUUAGCUCUUAUGGACAAGAUCCUUGUUUUAAUCGUUUUAAGUUUAGAUUGUAUUAAGUUUAAAAUUUGAGUGAUAGUUUGUAUAUUGAGGAAAACUUGUAUUCCUCGUUUCUAUGAUUGUUUUAUCAUAUCAAGAAUGUAAUAACUAUAUUAUAGUUUAAUACUAUAAUUAUUGGGAUGUUACA